rnacentral:lncRNA from 1 species
UUUGGUGUCAAAAUUUGAAGCCCCAAAAAAGGAAAAGAGUUGCGUGUAUUUCUAGAGAAACCUAGAGAGAGAGAGAGAGAGAGAGUCAAAGUGUGUGGGGAAUGUUAGAUGAGAAGAAAAAUAAAAGUUGUGAGGUGGGGUUUGGUGGGAGUUUUGCUUACCUUUCUUUGAUGUUCAUGAUAAGAGCUUCAUCUUCUCUAAUAGUGUGUCAUCAUUGAUUCAAGAGAGAGUAAUUGUGUAACACUAUUUUUAUGAUCUUAUAUAAUUUAUAUUUGUAAAUUAAAUAGUAGAUAAUAUUCUUUCCUCAAAAAAAUAGUAGAUAAUAUUCUAAAAAUGGUAAUAAUACUCGUAUGAUUUGUAUGUAUAUGUACGUACAUUCAAUCACACCUCAUUCUAUAGAUAUGUAUUGACAUGUUUUCAGA